GCAAAGACAGAGUGGCAAGAGAGACACAGAGAAAGACAAGUCAUGGGGAGAAGCAGAGACAGAUAAAGAAGAAGAGAGCAAUAGAGUGACGGCCACGGACCCUCCUUUUCUUGUGAACUGGAUAAUCACAUACCUGCAGCCCCCUUCCCUUAUUGAUAUCACCUUCAAAAAUUGAAGAAAUGUCAACAUUGGGGAAGAAGAACACAGAGGAUGUGUCAAGUGGAGCUGAUAUUGUCUGGGAAAAAUGGCUGACUGCACACUCUUCGGCUCACCCAGCUCGAACUCUUGCAUUAUGAUCGCAGAAUCAGCCUCACUUUAUUUAUGUAAGGAGUCCAAGACGGCAGUAGGUUUUGGAGGACCUACAGCAGAGCCUUAAGGAAUGCUCACAUCCAGAGGGUGAGCAACAGUGGGAGCACUUAGAGAAAGAGAAGGCAGGUGGGGAAUGCGGGACUAGAAGUUAAGAAAGAGAGUUUUAAGAGUAGGUCAACUGGGCUGGGCGUGGUGGCUCACGCCUGUAAUCCCAGCA
rnacentral:lncRNA from 1 species